AAUACAUCGGAACGUGCCUAGUAGUGGGGGAUAACUACUCGAAAGAGUGGCUAAUACCGCAUGAGAUCUACGGAUGAAAGCAGGGGAUCGCAAGACCUUGUGCUACUAGAGCGGCCGAUGGCAGAUUAGGUAGUUGGUGGGAUAAAAGCUUACCAAGCCGACGAUCUGUAGCUGGUCUGAGAGGACGAUCAGCCACACUGGGACUGAGACACGGCCCAGACUCCUACGGGAGGCAGCAGUGGGGAAUUUUGGACAAUGGGCGCAAGCCUGAUCCAGCAAUGCCGCGUGCAGGAUGAAGGCCUUCGGGUUGUAAACUGCUUUUGUACGGAACGAAAAGCCCUGGGUUAAUACCCUGGGGUCAUGACGGUACCGUAAGAAUAAGCACCGGCUAACUACGUGCCAGCAGCCGCGGUAAUACGUAGGGUGCGAGCGUUAAUCGGAAUUACUGGGCGUAAAGCGUGCGCAGGCGGUUUUGUAAGACAGAGGUGAAAUCCCCGGGCUCAACCUGGGAACUGCCUUUGUGACUGCAAGGCUAGAGUACGGCAGAGGGGGAUGGAAUUCCGCGUGUAGCAGUGAAAUGCGUAGAUAUGCGGAGG
rnacentral:rRNA from 1 species